CAGCAGCCACGGUAAUGCGUAGGUGGCAAGCGUUGUCCGGAAUUAUUGGGCGUAAAGGGCUCGCAGGCGGUUUCUUAAGUCUGAUGUGAAAGCCCCCGGCUCAACCGGGGAGGGUCAUUGGAAACUGGGAAACUUGAGUGCAGAAGAGGAGAGUGGAAUUCCACGUGUAGCGGUGAAAUGCGUAGAGAUGUGGAGGAACACCAGUGGCGAAGGCGACUCUCUGGUCUGUAACUGACGCUGAGGAGCGAAAGCGUGGGGAGCGAACAGGAUUAGAUACCCCCGUAGUCCCUGUCUCUUAUAA
rnacentral:rRNA from 1 species